rnacentral:rRNA from 1 species
AUUGAACGCUGGCGGCAGGCCUAACACAUGCAAGUCGAGCGGUAGCACAGAGAGCUUGCUCUCGGGUGACGAGCGGCGGACGGGUGAGUAAUGGUCUGGGAAACUGCCUGAUGGAGGGGGAUAACUACUGGAAACGGUAGCUAAUACCGCAUAACGUCGCAAGACCAAAGUGGGGGACCUUCGGGCCUCAUGCCAUCAGAUGUGCCCAGAUGGGAUUAGCUAGUAGGUGGGGUAACGGCUCACCUAGGCGACGAUCCCUAGCUGGUCUGAGAGGAUGACCAGCCACACUGGAACUGAGACACGGUCCAGACUCCUACGGGAGGCAGCAGUGGGGAAUAUUGCACAAUGGGCGCAAGCCUGAUGCAGCCAUGCCGCGUGUGUGAAGAAGGCCUUCGGGUUGUAAAGCACUUUCAGCGGGGAGGAAGGCGUUAAGGUUAAUAACCUUGGCGAUUGACGUUACCCGCAGAAGAAGCACCGGCUAACUCCGUG